UACGGAGGAGGCUAGCGUUGCUCGGAAUUACUGGGCGUAAAGCGCACGUAGGCGGACUUUUAAGUCGGGGGUGAAAUCCUGGAGCUCAACUCCAGAACUGCCUUCGAAACUGAAAGCCUUGAGUUCGGGAGAGGUGAGUGGAACUGCGAGUGUAGAGGUGAAAUUCGUAGGUAUUCGCAAGAACACCAGUGGCGAAGGCGGCUCACUGGCCCGAUCCUGACGCUGAGGUGCGAAAGCGUGGGGAGCAAACAGG
rnacentral:rRNA from 1 species